rnacentral:rRNA from 1 species
CCUACGGGUGGCAGCAGUGAGGAAUAUUGGUCAAUGGACGAGAGUCUGAACCAGCCAAGUAGCGUGAAGGAUGACUGCCCUAUGGGUUGUAAACUUCUUUUAUAAAGGAAUAAAACGAGGCACGUGUGCCUUUUUGCAUGUACUUUAUGAAUAAGGACCGGCUAACUCCGUGCCAGCAGCCGCGGUAAUACGGAGGGUCCGAGCGUUAUCCGGAUUUAUUGGGUUUAAAGGGAGCGUAGAUGGGUUGUUAAGUCAGUUGUGAAAGUUUGCGGCUCAACCGUAAAAUUGCAAUUGAUACUGGCAGUCGUGAGUACAGUUGAGGUAGGCGGAAUUCGUGGUGUAGCGGUGAAAUGCUUAGAUAUCACGAAGAACCCCGAUUGCGAAGGCAGCUUACUAAACUGUGACUGACAUUGAUGCUCGAAAGUGUGGGUAUCAAACAGGAUUAGAUACCCGAGUAGUC